AUUCCAUCCCGAACUCAGUAGUGAAACGGUACAUCGCCGAUGGUAGUGUGGGGUUUCCCCAUGUGAGAGUAGGUCAUCGCCAGGC
rnacentral:rRNA from 1 species